CCCCAAUCGUAAACUUUUACUUUCUACCUAACCGCCCGAAAAUACGAGCCCUGCUUAAAACUCAAAGGACUUGGCGGCRUCCCMUAUCCCNCUAGAGGAGCCUGUCCUAUCAUCGAUAAUCCCCGUUAAACCUCACCCCUUUUAGCCUUUCNGCUUGUAUACUUCCGUCCUUAACCCACCACAUGAGCGAAACUCAGUGGCAACAUCGCCUAACCCGCACAUAUGUCAGGUCAAAGUGCAGCAAAUAAAGCGGGAAGAGAUGGGC
rnacentral:rRNA from 1 species